AAACGAUUUAUCUUGUUGUUAUUUCGAAUUGUAAUAAAGAAUAUACUGGAAGUUGAUCAUAUAAACAUUAUGAAAUAUAUCGACAUCCUCAUUUCGCUUGCUUAUGGGUGGUGACAGGUCGAGCGUCGGGACUCAAAAGUGGAGGUCGAGGCUCGAAAGGCGAGGUUCGAAAGUCGAAAAUACUAAAUUUUUAUCAAUUUUAAAAUUUUACCUCCAUGUUGCAAACUUCUAUAAAACGCGAGAAAACACUAGUUUGACG